rnacentral:rRNA from 1 species
GAUGAACGCUGGCGGCGUGCCUAAUACAUGCAAGUCGAGCGAACAGACGAGGAGCUUGCUCCUCUGACGUUAGCGGCGGACGGGUGAGUAACACGUGGAUAACCUACCUAUAAGACUGGGAUAACUUCGGAAAACCGGAGCUAAUACCGGAUAAUAUAUUGAACCGCAUGGUUCAAUAGUGAAAGACGGUUUUGCUGUCACAUAUAGAUGGAUCCGCGCUGCAUUAGCUAGUUGGUAAGGUAACGGCUUACCAAGGCAACGAUGCUUAGCCGGCCUGAGAGGGGAGUCGGCCACACUAGAACUGAGAAACGGUCCAGACUCCUACCGGAGGCCGCAGUAAGGAAUCUUCCGGACUGGGCGAAAGCCUGACGGAGCAACGCCGCGUGAGUGAUGAAGGUCUUCGGAUCGUAAAACUCUGCUAUUAGGGAAGAACAAAUGUGUAAGUAACUAUGCACGUCUUGACGAUACCUAAUCAGAAAGCCACGGCUAACUACAUG